AAGAAAAAAUGUUAAUUAAAGAUAGUAGAAAUGAGCGAGAAGCACUGAAUGCACACGAGAGAAAUAGCGAACGAAAUAGUAAAGUGCAAUAUAAGAUGAUUGAGGAAAUAUCUAUGUGGGAGCAGUGAUAAAUUUGUAGAAAGGCUAUGUUCAAUGACUUUGAGGAGCAACAAUUUUUUCACUGUACGACAAACAGAAGCACAUACAUAUGCAUGAUAUUUUUGAGGGUACUCUUCUAAUUCUACAUGUUGCAUUGUAACACCAAGCCCCUGCUAGUGGGGGUCAUUGAUUCAACGCAGUAGACUACGUGCGAGCAGGCGACAGUAAGCAAGAAAUUUCCUUUUUUCUUCCACGCCACUUCAACUCGAUUUAUAUGAGGGCAGCCGUUCGACGAUCUCGUUAUUGCCGUCGUCGUACAACAUCAGCAGAAGCGGCAGCACUCGUACUCGUACAGUUGGGUAGAGCGAGCAGUGCGCCCAACGACGAAUAGACAAGAAAAGCAAUAUGGCGGAUGCCUACACUUACAGCGGAAUUUGGAUGCCGUAACGCAUAUUUACCUCGUUUAAACUUGAUGAAAGGAAAAAUCUUCAAUUUGGUCUCUUUUCUUAGUUUUCUUCUUCGCA